GUUCUCGCCAAAGCUGCGAGGUGACGAACAGAAACGUCGUGGAGGCAGGCGGAUGUUGAGGCGAGUGGCCCNANGACCACGAAGCCGUUUUCCGACAACGUCCGUUUGUAGGCGACGCACUUGCGCAGCGAAAGUUCACGUC
rnacentral:ncRNA from 1 species